rnacentral:tRNA from 1 species
GAGGCUAUAGCUCAGUGAUAGAGCGCAUGCUUAACAUGCACAAGGUCUGGGAUUCAAUCCCCAGUACCUCCA